CUGUGCUGUGGCAGAGACUGUAGCGUGUGAGCUUUACAUGAGAGAGGUCAGGGGUUCAAGACUGAGUCGAUGGGUGUGAGGUAUGGGUAGGCCUGUCAUGGGAGGCGGAAAAAUGGCCAGCAGGAAGGUGUGCAGCAGCCACUGGAAUGACCUCUUCCACCUCCUCCACUAACAGCUCCUCAUCAGCCGGCAGUGGGAUGUGAUCCUGAAGGGCCAUGUUGCAGAAGCGCCGACACCAAAACUACACUGCACGCCUUUGCAGGAUGGAGCUUCAGGCCACCAGCGGAUUUGCUCAAACACCUUUCCACAUGCCCAGGGCCCUCUCCACAACAACGCGGGUCCGGCUAUGGGCGUUGUUGUACCGCGCCUCUGCCUCGCUGUUGGGCUCCUAGAUGGAGCAGUUGACAUGCUUGUAUUAUCAUAGGGGGUUGAUGGAAUAAAGUAGGUCUUGAAAUGUCAGUGCACUCAGGGAAUAUAGACAUGCAUUUGAAAACAACAGUAUAGACUUUGCUACUAUCUCAGCAGCAGAAGGCAACAACAUGAGCAGCACCUACAGUAACACUGUGUGUGUGUGUGUG